CCUACGGGAGGCAGCAGUGAGGAAUAUUGGUCAAUGGACGAGAGUCUGAACCAGCCAAGUAGCGUGAAGGAUGACUGCCCUAUGGGUUGUAAACUUCUUUUAUAAAGGAAUAAAACGAGGCACGUGUGCCUUUUUGCAUGUACUUUAUGAAUAAGGAUCGGCUAACUCCGUGCCAGCAGCCGCGGUAAUACGGAGGAUCCGAGCGUUAUCCGGAUUUAUUGGGUUUAAAGGGAGCGUAGAUGGGUUGUUAAGUCAGUUGUGAAAGUUUGCGGCUCAACCGGAAAAUUGCAAUUGAUACUGGCAGUCGUGAGUACAGUUGAGGUAGGCGGAAUUCGUGGUGUAGCGGUGAAAUGCUUAGAUAUCACGAAGAACCCCGAUUGCGAAGGCAGCUUACUAAACUGUGACUGACAUUGAUGCUCGAAAGUGUGGGUAUCAAACAGGAUUAGAUACCCCUGUAGUC
rnacentral:rRNA from 1 species